UGGGGAAUUUUGGACAAUGGGGGCAACCCUGAUCCAGCCAUGCCGCGUGAGUGAAGAAGGCCUUCGGGUUGUAAAGCUCUUUCAGUCGGAACGAAAAGGUUACGGUUAACACCCGUGACUAAUGACGGUACCGAAAGAAGAAGCACCGGCUAACUACGUGCCAGCAGCCGCGGUAAUACGUAGGGUGCGAGCGUUAAUCGGAAUUACUGGGCGUAAAGCGUGCGCAGGCGGUUUUGUAAGUCAGAUGUGAAAUCCCCGGGCUUAACCUGGGAACUGCGUUUGAAACUACAAGGCUAGAGUGUGGCAGAGGGGGGUGGAAUUCCACGUGUAGCAGUGAAAUGCGUAGAGAUGUGGAGGAACACCGAUGGCGAAGGCAGCCCCCUGGGUUAACACUGACGCUCAGGCACGAAAGCGUGGGGAGCAAACA
rnacentral:rRNA from 1 species